AGCAGUAGCCACGGUAAUACGGAGGAUCCAAGCGUUAUCCGGAAUCAUUGGGUUUAAAGGGUCCGUAGGCGGUCUUGUAAGUCAGUGGUGAAAGCCCAUCGCUCAACGGUGGAACGGCCAUUGAUACUGCAGGACUUGAAUUAUUGGGAAGUAACUAGAAUAUGUAGUGUAGCGGUGAAAUGCUUAGAGAUUACAUGGAAUACCAAUUGCGAAGGCAGGUUACUACCAAUUGAUUGACGCUGAUGGACGAAAGCGUGGGUAGCGAACAGGAUUAGAUACCCCGGUAGUCCCUGUCUCUUAUAC
rnacentral:rRNA from 1 species